UUAAAACUUUUUAUUCAAAAACCAUACAAUCUAAAGACAUUUAUAAAGCAGCGGAAUUCUAAAGUCUCACAUGGCCAUCUUAGACAAAAUUUUAUACAAGAUAGGGUCACUGCCCUUUACAAUCGAAGUCUUAACAAUAGUCUUAAAACAUAAAAGAAACUAGAAACAUGAAAAUCCUUGUCCUCGAUCUAUGAGGACAUACCAAAGAUGUCUUGGAAGAAGUCUAGUCCAAACUUCACUAAGGAGAAUCAAGUUGAGUGUCAAUCCCUACACUUCAUAAGAGUAAAGAAAUAUGGGUUAGCACACAGAAAUGUACUAAGUAUGAUGACCAUGCAAAAACAUGCUUUAAAAGGGACAUUUUGUUUGAAAGCCAUGCUUUUAUACCAUUUUUGUAAAACUUCAUGAACAUUGAUACAAGAGACAUAAUAUAAGUCACAACCAACGUACAAAGUCACAUAAUUCACAUUUGAACAAAAUCACAUAUAAACAUUUACCUUCACCUUGAGGCUCCACCUCAAGUAACCCUCAAGUUAUACCUUGUGCAAUGUAUGGAUAGCGUCCCAUACCACCACCCAUACUAAGGUACCACCUUAAGGUCACCAAAAGUGAACUUACCAUUCAUCCUAUGCACCUUUACAUGUUAGAGCAUUUAAUAGACAUAAACAUUACAUGAAUCACGUCAUCACAUUAAGACCAAAAUCUAAGACAACUCUAAGUCAUACUUGUACAAUGUGCAAGUAGCAUCCCAUACUACUACUCACAUUAAGUACUCUUUUGAAGUCACCCUAGACAAGGCACAUUCAUAUACAAUAAGUCUGACAAGGAAAUAACUCAUAAUACAAUUCAAGUAUAGCAUCCAUCUUCACAUUUAAGCAUACAAGCAUUUAAGAGUCAACAUUCUUCAUUUAUCUUCAUUACAUUAAGAGCACCUUCAUUUUUUAGACAUUAGAUCAACAUUCUCAUAAAUAUCAUCACAAGAGCCCAUUCAUUCAUCAUCAUUAUAAGGAACACACCAUGACCUCUCUUCAAUGCCUAUUUAUGCAAUGCAUAGAUAGCGUCCCAUACCACCACCUACACCAAGUAAUACAUCCUUAAGAAGCCAUAGUUCAUUAACA
rnacentral:lncRNA from 1 species